GUCUAUAUGGUUUAAAUAUAUAGUCUAACCUGCCCACUGGUAUAAAAUCUAAAGGGCCGCAGUAUCUUGACUGUGCAAAGGUAGCAUAAUCAUUAGUCUUUUAAUUGAAGACUCGUAUGAAUGGUUGGACGAGAAAUAAACUGUUUCUUUUAUACAUUUUGAAUUUAACUUUUAAGUGAAAAGGCUUAAAUACUUUAGAGGGACGAUAAGACCCUAUAAAUCUUAAUAUUUUAUUAUUAGAGAUACUAUUUAUAACGUCUAUGUAUCUUUAAUAAAAUAAUAUUCUACUGGGGCGGUAUAAAUAAAAUUAGUAACUGUUUAAUAUAAAUUCAGAAGUGCCUGAUAAUUAAUAGAUCCUUAUAUAAAGAUCAAAAGGUUAAGUUACUUUAGGGAUAACAGCGUUAUUUCUUUUAAGAGUUCAUAUCUAAAAAGAAGUUUGCGACCUCGAUGUUGAAUUAAAAUUUCUUUGUGGUUGCAGCAGCUACAAAAGAAAGUCUGUUCGACUUUUAAAAUUUUACA
rnacentral:rRNA from 1 species